GUUCGUUUCAUUCCCCUACAUUACUUGACCGUUUUUGUAAAACAACAGCACUCGAGGUCUGACAGUAUUUUACCAAGAAAUGCACAAAAUAUUCAAAAAGAACGCCUAGAAAAUUUAAAUAUUGGACAAGAACUAUAGAAGGUACAGAGAAAUAAUAUACAGCAGAAAUGAUAGGCAAUGUAAAAUUUGCAGAAGCCAACUAAACCUAAAUGGUGAUCAGACAUCUCGGUUUUCAUGAUCAAUAGGUCAUUACUGAAGAGGAAACUUAAAGUUGAAAUUUAUUUACAUAGUGCAUAAUUGGAUUAAUUUGAAAUGGAAUGUGUGCUUUCCUGCAAAAAAGAAAUAGGAAAUUUCAACAUGUGAUAAUGACCAUAUAAAACAAAAUGGAGUUCUAUCAUAGAUACCUGAAAACACUAUUGCAUAAAAGCAACAACAUAUCUUAAUCAAAAGAAAGGAGAAUGCAGAACAAAUACUAUUUUGUUGUUGAAAAAAGGAACACCAGUUUUAUCCACUCAUUUACAUCGCUCCCUCAUAUCAAAUAUACAGAAGAAGAUCAUUGAAGAACAAUUUGCAAAAAUGAUUUCUCUUAGAAUUGAAGGGAAUUGUUUAGUGAAGUGAAUAAUGUAUUCACUGAAUUCUUACAUAGUGGAUUGAAUAACUGUACACAAGCUGAAACAGAAGAAAUUCUAAUUUAAAAUAACACGAAAAGUGUUUAUUUUAUUAUUUAAUCUGCAAAUAUAUAAAUAUUUUUUUUAGAACACCACAAAUGAUAUAAUGACAUUCAAAUUGGUUGCUUAUUAUUGUAUCGCAUUGAAACAAUUACAAAGAAAACAGAAGCAUUUGCUCCAAAAAAAUUAUAAAUCAAAGUUAAAUUUAUAUAAAAAGUAUAAACAAUACCUAGAUCUAAACAGUCAGACUGUAUUAUUUUCAAUGUCAUUAAAAUUUUGAGUCAAACAUUUAUUAUUAAAUUUUUAAAUAUCA